ensembl:miRNA
UCCAGCGCCGCCGCCGUCGCCGCCAACCGAGCCGUAGCAGGCUGGGCCGCCAAGGCAAGAUGGUGGACUACAGCGUGUGGG